rnacentral:rRNA from 1 species
AGAGUUUGAUCCUGGCUCAGGACGAACGCUGGCGGCGUGCUUAACACAUGCAAGUCGAGCGGAAAGGCCCUUCGGGGUACUCGAGCGGCGAACGGGUGAGUAACACGUGAGUAACCUGCCCCGAACUUUGGGAUAACCCUCGGAAACGGGGGCUAAUACCGAAUACGACUUCCUUUCGCAUGGCAUGGACGUGGAAAGUUUUUCGGUUCGGGAUGGACUCGCGGCCUAUCAGCUUGUUGGUGGGGUAAUGGCCUACCAAGGCGACGACGGGUAGCCGGCCUGAGAGGGCGACCGGCCACACUGGGACUGAGACACGGCCCAGACUCCUACGGGAGGCAGCAGUGGGGAAUAUUGCACAAUGGGCGGAAGCCUGAUGCAGCGACGCCGCGUGAGGGAUGACGGCCUUCGGGUUGUAAACCUCUUUCAGCAGGGACGAAGCGCAAGUGACGGUACCUGCAGAAGAAGCGCCGGCCAACUACGUGCCAGCAGCCGCGGUAAGACGUAGGGCGCGAGCGUUGUCCGGAUUUAUUGGGCGUAAAGAGCUCGUAGGCGGCUUGUCGCGUCGAAUGUGAAAUCUCGGGGCUCAACUCCGAGCUUGCAUUCGAUACGGGCAGGCUAGAGUUCGGUAGGGGAGACUGGAAUUCCUGGUGUAGCGGUGAAAUGCGCAGAUAUCAGGAGGAACACCGGUGGCGAAGGCGGGUCUCUGGGCCGAUACUGACGCUGAGGAGCGAAAGCGUGGGGAGCGAACAGGAUUAGAUACCCUGGUAGUCCACGCUGUAAACGUUGGGCGCUAGGUGUGGGGACCCUCUCCGGGUUUCUGCGCCGCAGCUAACGCAUAAGCG